GACGAACGCUGGCGGCGUGCUUAACACAUGCAAGUCGAACGGAAAGGCCCUGCUUUUGUGGGGUGCUCGAGUGGCGAACGGGUGAGUAACACGUGAGUAACCUGCCCUUGACUUUGGGAUAACUUCAGGAAACUGGGGCUAAUACCGGAUAGGAGCUCCUGCUGCAUGGUGUGGGUUGGAAAGUUUCGGCGGUUGGGGAUGGACUCGCGGCUUAUCAGCUUGUUGGUGGGGUAGUGGCUUACCAAGGCUUUGACGGGUAGCCGGCCUGAGAGGGUGACCGGCCACAUUGGGACUGAGAUGCGGCCCAGACUCCUACGGGAGGCAGCAGUGGGGAAUAUUGCACAAUGGGCGGAAGCCGGAUGCAGCAACGCCGCGUGCGGGAUGACGGCCUUCGGGUUGUAAACCGCUUUCGCCUGUGACGAAGCGUGGGUGACGGUAAUGGGUAAAGAAGCACCGGCUAACUACGUG
rnacentral:rRNA from 1 species